GGCUUGCUUACACAAGCUGCCAGGGCAUCAGAGCCACCUCAGUCCAAUGGCCUCCUUGUGUAAUUAAUUUAACACUGUUUGAACGUUCCCACCAGUUCGUAGCUUCUGUUCCAGGUGGUCAAACCUCCACUGUGGGUCCUCUGGAUUCCCAUCUCGCCCCACCUCAGGGUGGGUGGUGGGCACAG